GUGGGGACUGUUGCUAUGUUCUUUCCAAUCCCAGCCCACAAGCAUUCCUAGCAGGUGCAGCAGGAGUUUGGAGGAGGAAUAGGCCCUUUCCUGGUCUUUCUACACUUGCCAAGUCUCCAAAUUGGCCUUUCAGCCUUUGCCUCCUGAGUCCUGCGAUGACAGACCUACACCACCACACCCAGCUCAACAUCACUCUCUCAAGGAGUUAAACAGAACAGCCUGGGAGGGUGUGGCAGGACCAGAAGAUAAGGAGCACGACUACAACACGACAUCUCCGGGCUCCCGCUGUGAAAUCUGUUUCGGGUCUGGACUAGGAUAUCGGGAAUUUCUAGAGAGCGGAGCAAAGGCCACAGUAGUUGCAGUAAUCUAUCACCGACCUCUGCUUGUCUACCUUCCCACACCCCGUGGACCACUGUUUCACAAAAUGUGAACUUGGGAAUCUCAGAGUACAAAACUUUUGCAACUUCCUGUGCGUCUAUGAGUCUAUUCAAAAUUAAAAGUGUUUUAAAAUCAGGGCUGUCGAGAAUGAAACCACACACCAGUCCCACGUGAAUUCCCCCAUUCUGCGACCCCAAGGUGGGGGAGACCUCCCGCCCGUCUACUUCCUGUCCCCAGGAACAAGCCAGACCUCUGUCCA